rnacentral:snRNA from 1 species
GUGCUCGCUUCAGCAGCACCUAAACUGAAAAACUGGAAUGAUGCAGAGAUUACCACAGACACCAUGCAAGGAUGACACAUAAACUCGUGGAAAUUUCCAUAAUUUU